UGGGGAAUAUUGGACAAUGGGCGCAAGCCUGAUCCAGCCAUGCCGCGUGGGUGAUGAAGGCCUUAGGGUUGUAAAGCCCUUUCGGCGGGGAAGAUAAUGACGGUACCCGCAGAAGAAGCCCCGGCUAACUUCGUGCCAGCAGCCGCGGUAAUACGAAGGGGGCUAGCGUUGCUCGGAAUCACUGGGCGUAAAGCGCACGUAGGCGGACUCUUAAGUCGGUGGUGAAAUCCUGGAGCUCAACUCCAGAACUGCCUUCGAUACUGGGAGUCUUGGAGUCCGGGAGAGGUGAGUGGAACUGCGAGUGUAGAGGUGAAAUUCGUAGAUAUUCGCAAGAACACCAGUGGCGAAGGCGGCUCACUGGCCCGGUACUGACGCUGAGGUGCGAAAGCGUGGGGAGCAAACA
rnacentral:rRNA from 1 species